rnacentral:rRNA from 1 species
CACGGGUGCGUAACACGUAACUAACCUGCCCAGACCUGGGGGAUAGCCCGCCGAAAGGCGGAUUAAUACCGCAUAAGAUAAUAAGGUGGCAUCACCUAGUUAUUAAAGAUUUAUCGGGUUUGGAUGGGGUUGCGGGUCAUUAGCUAGUUGGUAAGGUAAUGGCUUACCAAGGCGACGAUGACUAGGGGAGCUGAGAGGCUGGUCCCCCACACGGGCACUGAGAUACGGGCCCGACUCCUACGGGAGGCAGCAGUAGGGAAUAUGGGGCAAUGGGCGAGAGCCUGACCCAGCCAUGCCGCGUGCAGGAAGAAGGCUUUCUGAGUCGUAAACUGCUUUUGAUAGGGAAGAAUAACCAGUACGUGUACUGGGAUGACGGUACCUACAGAAUAAGCACCGGCUAACUCCGUGCCAGCAGCCGCGGUAAU